UCUCCGUUGGUGAACCGGCGGAGGGAUCAUUACCGAGUUUACAACUCCCAAACCCAAUGUGAACCAUACCAAACUGUUGCCUCGGCGGGGUCACGCCCCGGGUGCGUCGCAGCCCCGGAACCAGGCGCCCGCCGGAGGGACCAACCAAACUCUUUCUGUAGUCCCCUCGCGGAUGUUAUUUUUACAGUUCUGAGCAAAAAUCCAAAAUGAAUCAAAACUUUCAACAAUGGAUCUCUUGGUUCUG
rnacentral:misc_RNA from 1 species